rnacentral:rRNA from 1 species
AGUCGACGGUAGCAGGCCUUCGGGCGCUGACGAGUGGCGGACGGGUGCGUAAUGCAUAGGAAUCUGCCUAUUAGUGGGGGAUAACGUGGGGAAACUCACGCUAAUACCGCAUACGAUCUACGGAUGAAAGCUGGGGACCUUCGGGCCUGGCGCUAAUAGAUGAGCCUAUGUCGGAUUAGCUAGUUGGUAGGGUAAAGGCCUACCAAGGCGACGAUCCGUAGCUGGUCUGAGAGGAUGAUCAGUCACACCGGAACUGAGACACGGUCCGGACUCCUACGGGAGGCAGCAGUGGGGAAUAUUGGACAAUGGGCGCAAGCCUGAUCCAGCAAUUCCGCGUGUGAAGAAGGCCUUCGGGUUGUAAAGCACUUUAGGUUGGGAAGAAAAAGCUUCGGCGAAUAUCCGGAGUGUUGACGGUACCAACAGAAUAAGCACCGGCUAACUCUGUGCCAGCAGCCGCGGUAAUACAGAGGGUGCAAGCGUUAAUCGGAUUUACUGGGCGUAAAGCGUGCGCAGGUGGUUUCGUAAGUCGGAUGUGAAAGCCCCGGGCUCAACCUGGGAACUGCAUUCGAUACUGCGAGACUCGAGUUUGGUAGAGGGUGGCGGAAUUCCCGGUGUAGCGGUGAAAUGCGUAGAUAUCGGGAGGAACAUCAAUGGCGAAGGCAGCCACCUGGGCCUGAACUGACACUGAGGCACGAAAGCGUGGGUAGCAAACAGGAUUAGAUACCCUGGUAGUCCACGCCCUAAACGAUGUCAACUGGUUGUUGGGUCUCUUCUGACUCAUAACGAAGCUAACGCGUGAGUUGACCGCCUGGGAGUACGGCCGCAGGUUGAAACUCAAAGGAUUGACGGAACCGCACAGCGGUGGAUGAUGUGGUUUAAUUCGAUGCACGCAAAACCUUACCACCUUUGAAUGGCAGAAUCCUUAAAGAUAAAGAGUGCUCAAAGAGAACUGGCCCAGCGCUGCAUGGCUGUCGUCACUCUGUCGGGAGAGUCGGUAGAUCCCGAACGUGUCAACCAUGGUCAU